GGAUGAACGCUGGCGGCGUGCCUAAUACAUGCAAGUCGAACGAGUUCUGGUUAAUGAUGGCGGUGCUUGCACCAAUAGAUUUAACAUUUGAACGAGUGGCGGACGGGUGAGUAACACGUGGGUAACCUGCCCUAAAGUGGGGGAUAACAUUUGGAAACAGAUGCUAAUACCGCAUAAAUCUUGGAACCUCAUGGUUCCAAGCUGAAAGAUGGCGUAAGCUAUCGCUUUUGGAUGGACCCGCGGCGUAUUAGCUAGUUGGUGAGGUAAAGGCUCACCAAGGCGAUGAUACGUAGCCGACCUGAGAGGGUGAUCGGCCACAUUGGGACUGAGACACGGCCCAAACUCCUACGGGAGGCAGCAGUAGGGAAUCUUCCACAAUGGACGAAAGUCUGAUGGAGCAACGCCGCGUGAGUGAAGAAGGUUUUCGGAUCGUAAAACUCUGUUGUUGGAGAAGAACGUACGUGAGAGUAACUGUUCACGUAGUGACGGUAUCCAACCAGAAAGCCACGGCUAACUACGUGCCAGCAGCCGCGGUAAUACGUAGGUGGCAAGCGUUAUCCGGAUUUAUUGGGCGUAAAGCGAGCGCAGGCGGUUUCUUAAGUCUGAUGUGAAAGCCCUCGGCUCAACCGAGGAAGUGCAUCGGAAACUGGGAAACUUGAGUGCAGAAGAGGACAGUGGAACUCCAUGUGUAGCGGUGGAAUGCGUAGAUAUAUGGAAGAACACCAGUGGCGAAGGCGGCUGUCUGGUCUGUAACUGACGCUGAGGCUCGAAAGCAUGGGUAGCGAACAGGAUUAGAUACCCUGGUAGUCCAUGCCGUAAACGAUGAAUACUAAGUGUUGGAGGGUUUCCGCCCUUCAGUGCUGCAGCUAACGCAUUAAGUAUUCCGCCUGGGGAGUACGACCGCAAGGUUGAAACUCAAAGGAAUUGACGGGGGCCCGCACAAGCGGUGGAGCAUGUGGUUUAAUUCGAAGCAACGCGAAGAACCUUACCAGGUCUUGACAUCUUCUGCUAUUCUAAGAGAUUAGAAGUUCCCUUCGGGGACAGAAUGACAGGUGGUGCAUGGUUGUCGUCAGCUCGUGUCGUGAGAUGUUGGGUUAAGUCCCGCAACGAGCGCAACCCUUAUGACUAGUUGCCAGCAUUAAGUUGGGCACUCUAAUCAGACUGCCGGUGACAAACCGGAGGAAGGUGGGGAUGACGUCAAAUCAUCAUGCCCCUUAUGACCUGGGCUACACACGUGCUACAAUGGAUGGUACAACGAGUCGCAAAACCGCGAGGUUAAGCUAAUCUCUUAAAGCCAUUCUCAGUCCGGACUGUAGGCUGCAACUCGCCUACACGAAGUCGGAAUCGCUAGUAAUCGCGGAUCAGCAUGCCGCGGUGAAUACGUUCCCGGGCCUUGUACACACCGCCCGUCACACCAUGAGAGUUUGUAACACCCGAAGCCGGUGGGGUAACCUUUUAGGAGCUAGCCGUCUAAGGUGGGACAGAUGAUUAGGGUGAAGUCGUAACAAGGUAGCCGUAGGAGAACCUGCGGCUGGAUCACCUCCUUUCU
rnacentral:rRNA from 1 species